rnacentral:rRNA from 2 species
UAGGGAAUCUUCGGCAAUGGACGAAAGUCUGACCGAGCAACGCCGCGUGAGUGAAGAAGGUUUUCGGAUCGUAAAACUCUGUUGUUAGAGAAGAACAAGGACGUUAGUAACUGAACGUCCCCUGACGGUAUCUAACCAGAAAGCCACGGCUAACUACGUGCCAGCAGCCGCGGUAAUACGUAGGUGGCAAGCGUUGUCCGGAUUUAUUGGGCGUAAAGCGAGCGCAGGCGGUUUCUUAAGUCUGAUGUGAAAGCCCCCGGCUCAACCGGGGAGGGUCAUUGGAAACUGGGAGACUUGAGUGCAGAAGAGGAGAGUGGAAUUCCAUGUGUAGCGGUGAAAUGAGUAGAUAUAUGGAGGAACACCAGUGGCGAAGGCGGCUCUCUGGUCUGUAACUGACGCUGAGGCUCGAAAGCGUGGGGAGCAAACAGG